AGGGAAGGCAGAAAUAAUAGCUUGGUAUCAGUUUUCUGAGAUGUGUUAGUGCAGAAGGCAUGUGGGUUGGAUUUACUCUUCUUGACAUUACCAGUCUUAAACUGUCUGUACCUGAUGAUUGCCUGUAGAUGAGUCAGUCACUUGGGGUACUACUACUCUCAACAAGGAGGGAUACUAAAUUCUGAUGUAAUGGCCAAUAUGAAGCAUUUUGGGGCUGAGUUGACUGAAAAUAACUGUCUAAUGAGAAGCUUCUGUCCAGACUCAUGCUGCAACUUUGGAAGAUUUUGUCCUCUAUCUCUCCUGUGUCCUAUAACAUGGAGGACCCACUGAGCAUCUGAAGUGGCACUGGCACCUUGCUGGACAGCUGAAUUAAGUUUUAUAUUUCUUCCUUGCAAUUAAAGAAAUUGCACCUUAGUGUGCAAUGACUUCUUCUCUUCCUUGACUAUUGAGGAUAUUAUGAAUAUAUACAGCUUGAGACAUAAAUACAUCUGGCUAGGUAAAGCAAAUGUCAUCACUUGAAUCUGUUUUCAUGUGGUCGAUGUGUUAUGCUUAUUUUUAUGUGGAUGUUGUGUUGUUUUUUUUUUAAUUUUAAACUCAACAUAAGAAGGACAGAACAAACUUGAGCUCUUUCUGAUGAUUCAUUUUCCUGGUUGUUUUGAGAUGUUCAGGCACCAAAUCAUUGGUUGUGAUUUUUAUUUCUAAAUGCACUCCAAAAAUUCAUAUGAUGAAAAUACAUGUCUAUGGCUGACAGUAACCACAAGAUAUACAAUUAUUGGAUUUUUGUCAUACUGCCUUGAUAUAAGUGUUAAAAUAUCCCUAAUGUUGAAACAGAAUCAAAUUUUAAAUAUAUAUAUAUACACACACACAGGAUAUAAGAGUAUUUGAAGUGUGGCCUCCUAAAUGACUUUAAUGUUAAAAUGUGUUUUUACUUGGAGAUUUCAAAACAUUCAGCAUGCUCCUUCAAUUUUAAAAUAGGAAAUAUUCAAUGGCUGAAGCUAGGGUGAUGCAAGUGGAUUUAGAACGUGAGGUUUAUGUGGGGCAUUGUAGAAAAAUGUGAGAGGAAAUCUAAUCUGCACUCUAAAUUCUCCAGGUUUAUUUUUCUAAUUUUGGUUUUAUCACAAGUUUCAGUUAUCCUCAGUCCUGCCAUGUUGAGGCUGGAGCUGCCCAGAGUGGUGGCUCUUCAACCAAGAGGUGAACAUUCACUGCAGCUGCUGUAUGGGCACCAACCAGCUUCAUGUGUGAAUCUGUCACUUGCUUAAUAAUCUGCCAGACAAAAAUCUUCCCCGAUUGCUUUUUCCUUUUGCCACUUCUCCUGAGAGCUGCAGGGGUUACUUCAAACCGGAGCCACAAUUGGUCUCACAAUUGCAUCUUUAAAUUACAUCAUCAUACAUGAACUGAGCAGGACUUAAACUCCUAGUGCUUCAGAAUGGUCAUAGGAUUUAUGUAUUAUUAGAUUUAAAUAUUUGUGAAUAUUCAUUUACUUUUUCUAAUGUUUACUGCCUAGCUUUGAGGUGAAUUAGUGAUUUAUUAGGCCACAAAGCAUUACCCAAAUUUUUCUAGCUUCUGAUAUGAAACAGACGGAGUAGGUGAGCUCUUAGAUGGUGAGAUCUUGCAUACGUGAAAAAGAAAUUCUCCUGAAAUGGGGGACUGAAAUAUUCAGGUUUCAAACAACUCAGCUGGGAUCCCAGAAUAUGUGCUCCAAAUUAUUAGUGUAACGGUAGAUGGGUUUGGGACAUCUCAGUCUUAUGUUUGAAGUG
rnacentral:lncRNA from 7 species